ACUUUUGCUUUCACUUUAACAAAUCUUGCAGCCGCACACUCUUUGGGUCCGCCCGUUUCUCUAAUCAAGUUGUAACACUCGCUGCUGUGGUCCACAGCUUCAUUCCUUGAAGCCCGUGAGACACGAACGCUUCCAUUGAGAAAAACCUUCCAUCAGAAGAAGACUUCUCGUCUCAGUGGGACUGCUGAGUUGAAUGGUGCUUUUUUUUCUGAAGCUUUGGUAGUGUAACUGUAAGAGUCCUGGAAUUGGAAAAGCAAAUCCAGAAGUUGAGUUCCAUGACUUUUUUGCUGUUUGCCUUUGGCUGAAUCCAAGAAGAGAAGCCCUUGAAGAGUGUAUUCUAUUCUAGACAAGCAUUCACACAUUGGCUUCUUUGGUGCCAGAUUAAAGAAUGAAGAAAGGAUCAAAUUGAGACAUCCAGGGGGGAAGAGUUCCCUGGCAAAACUCCAAUCUGCCUGAGCACUGAGGUGGAGCCACAGAAGUCCGGGUCAUUUGCACCUGGGAGGAGCCUGGCCCCUCCUCUUCCUGUGUGGAAUCUGGGAUUUAAUCUGUGAGGAGGGAAGGCCAAGGGCAGGAAGCACAGGCUCUCACUUCACUAAGAGUCUCUGUUUCCCCUUUUUUUCCUUUAUGCCUAAUUAAUAAAUCCCAUUUUUCUCACUCUUCAAA
ensembl:lncRNA LINC02328 long intergenic non-protein coding RNA 2328